GUGUGUGUGUGUGUUUAGCUAGUUGUUGUAUUUACCUAGUUGUAGUUUUAUAGGGCCUGGGCUUGACGUUCGUGUGGUCCUGUCUCUGUAUCUACAUUUAUCCAACUUUUCCUUGAAGCUUUGCACACUCCUUUCUGAUACUACAUCCUUACUUAGUCUGUUCCAAACCUCUAUAUUUCUUUGCGGGAAGCUAUAUUUCUUUAUGUCUCUCAAGCAUCUUCCCUUCCUCAAUUUUUUACUGUGUCCUCUUGUGUUCCUGGUGGUAAUUUCUUCUUUUAGUAGUAACUCCUUGUUGUCUACUUCUUCCAUUUUGCUCAAUAAUUUGUAGAUUUCUAUUAGGUCUCCCAUUUCUCUUCUUUGUUCUAGUGUUGGUAAGUCCAUUUCCUUUAGUCUCUCCUCGUAUGUCAAUCCCUGGAACCAUUUUUGUUGCCAUCUUUUGUAUUCUUUCUAGUUUCUUGAUGUGUUUCUUUUUAUGGGGAGACCACACUGCCUCUGCAUGUGUGUGUGUGUGUGUGUGUGUAAGAUUGACUGACUGAUGAAUGAAUAACUGCGAUUAAGGUUGGUAUUGCAAGACACUUUCCCUUCUCACAUCAGCUACUUCUAAAGGUCAAAGGGGGAUAUCAGUCAGGUUCUAAUGAGUGUUUUUCAGGCUCAUGGUACAGAAGAAGGGUUAAACUACCACCAGGGUCAUCAAACUACUCCUGGAAAUGCCCACAACUCCUGCGAAAGCCUUGUCAAAUAGGUGUUAUAAUACGACCCUAAGUAAAUAACUUCCUGAUGGAGUGGAUGAUUGACUUGGCAUCUUGUAGCCUUACUCUCAGCUAUUUCAAGUUCCCGACUGAUGUACUAACACCCUCAGAUUGGCUACAGUGAAGGUCGUGGCAGAGAGUGUACUCAAACUCCUACUGUGAGCUACUCCUGAUGCCUGCGCCCUCACCACCCCUGUGAAGGACGCCCAGCUGACCCAACCCUCCUCGUGUGCCCCUGAGAGCUCCCUGCAGCACAGCGAGUCUCUUCUUGGACGGCUCAGAGGCACAGAAGAUGUAGCCAGACUUGCCGGCCAAACCCGAGGGUGUGUGUUGAUGCUGGGACCAAGAAGAAGAAGAG